rnacentral:rRNA from 1 species
UGGGGAAUUUUCCGCAAUGGGCGAAAGCCUGACGGAGCAAGACCGCGUGAGGGAGGAAGGCCUAUUGGUUGUAAACCUCUUUUCUCAGGAAAGAACACAAUGACGGUACCUGAGGAAUCAGCAUCGGCUAACUCCGUGCCAGCAGCCGCGGUAAUACGGAGGAUGCAAGCGUUAUCCGGAAUGAUUGGGCGUAAAGAGUCCGUAGGUGGUGAUGCGUGUCUGCUGUCAAAGCUCAAGGCUUAACUUUGAAUCGGCAGUGGAAACUGCAUCACUAGAGGCAGGUAGGGGUAGAGGGAAUUCCCGGUGUAGCGGUGAAAUGCGUAGAGAUCGGGAAGAACACCAGCGGCGAAAGCGCUCUGCUAGACCUGAACUGACACUGAGGGACGAAAGCUAGGGGAGCGAAAGGGAUUAGAUACCCCUGUAGUCCUAGCCGUAAACGAUGGAUACUAGGCGUUGCCCGUAUCGACCCGGGCAGUGCCGUAGCUAACGCGUUAAGUAUCCCGCCUGGGGAGUACGC